UGGGGUGUGGCUCAGCGGUAGAGCGCUCACCUCGGACGUGUGAGGUCCUGGGUUUGAUCCUCAGCACCACAU
rnacentral:tRNA from 1 species